rnacentral:lncRNA from 1 species
GAUGAGACUGAUCACACUUGAUUAGCGAGAAAUUAUGACAUCAAUCAUUAACGAGUGAGUAUUACACCAAGAAUUUACAAGCGGAUCGAGGAAUGAAGGGAGAGGAAUUAGAAUAGAAAGAAAGAGACGGAUUUCGAAUUAGAGUAAGGGCACGCUAAGACAUUCCUUUUCGUGCUUUCGAUCUGCUUACUUUGAAUAAAGAUAAAAAAAAUAAUAGAUAGGCGGAAAGGCUAUUUUGAAUUAGAGUAAAGGCACGCUAAGUUCCUUUUCGUGCUUCGAUCUGCUUACUUUGAAUAAAGAUAAAAAAAUAAUAGAUAGGCGGAAAGGCUUUACACAAGACCACAGAGCGAGAGAGAGAGACUUAGUCUCUUCUUGAAUUCAUUAUGACAUCAAUCAUUAACGAGUGAGUAUUACACCAAGAAUUUACAAGCGGAUCGAGGAAUGAAGGGAGAGGAAUUAGAAUAGAAAGAAAGAGAAUUUUGAAUUAGAGUAAAGGCACGCUAAGUUCCUUUUCGUGCUUCGAUCUGCUUACUUUGAAUAAAGAUAAAAAAAUAAUAGAUAGGCGGAAAGGCUUUACACAAGACCAUAGAGCGAGAGAGAGAGCCUUCGCUUACCUGCUUAACCGUCCCCUCCUAU